UACAGAGGGCCCAAGCGUUGUUCGGAUUCAUUGGGCGUAAAGGGUGCGUAGGUGGCGCCGUAAGUCGGGUGUGAAAUUUCGGAGCUUAACUCCGAAACUGCAUUCGAUACUGCGGUGCUUGAGGACUGGAGAGGAGACUGGAAUUUACGGUGUAGCGGUGAAAUGCGUAGAUAUCGUAAGGAAGACCAGUGGCGAAGGCGGGUCUCUGGACAGUUCCUGACGCUGAGGCACGAAGGCCAGGGGAGCAAACGGG
rnacentral:rRNA from 1 species